CGCAUCCUCCUUCCGCUGUCCAUUCUCAUGCAGCCAUAAGUCUCAGAUCAUAGGUCAUGUCUCACUAAACCCAGAGGAACACGGACAUGGGUUAUUUUUUUUUUUAAGAUUUUAUUUAUUUAUUUAUUUAUUUAUUUAUUUAUUUAUUUAUUUAUUUAUUUAUGAGAGACACACAGAGAGAGCCAGAGACACAGGCAGAGGGAGAAGCAGGCUCCAUGCAGGGAACCUGACAUGGGACUCGAUCCUGGGACCCCAGGAUCACGCCAAAGGCAGGGGCCAAACCACUGAGCCACCCAGGGAUCCAGACAUGGGUUAUUAUGCCCUCAUCUUGUAUGUUCUUUAUUCUGUGCCCGCCACAUCCUGUCUUAUUGUUUUCCUAUAUAUAUCCCUGACCACACUGCAAUAAGUUUGAGGGAGUGACUUUCUUUUUUUUUUUAAUUUAAUUUAUUUAUUUGAAAGAGAAAGUACCAGCAGGGGAAGUGGGGUAGAGGGAGAAGCAAACUCUGCACUGAGCAGGGAGUCCGAUGUGGGACUCAAUCCCAGGACCCUGGGAUCAUGACCUGAGCCAAACACAGAUGCUCAACCACUGAGCCACCAAGGUGCCCCUAUCCCUCCCUUUGUAAAGCCCACAAGUCAGAUGUCUGCCUGUGAGCCUGGUACUGGUAAGGCAGGACCCUGGGCAGCAUUGCUCAGGGACUUCAGCUACCCCUUGUCACCGCUCCAUCAGUAGUGCCUCACUCCCACUAACCCACACUGUACAGAGUUAUUAAGGUGCUAGAGGAAGCAGUUAAGAAUGUGGCAUUCCCCAACCCACUCUACCCAUCCCCCCCGACUGAAUCUCUGGCAGAGGAAAAUUUGCUGAAACCAUCUGUUGAAAAGGACAACUCCAAAGUUCAUGUGCAUGUCCUGAUUCAUCUAGGUAACGAUGCCUUAAAGUGAAAAACUGUUUUUGUUUCUAUGAAGAAACCUACAACACCUAAAAUCUAAAACAGCAGCAAACAGUGAGCUAAACCUGGAAGCCAGUGUUAGCCACCAUCUCCGUUGUCUGAUUAUCCAGACUCCCACAGACAUGGCCAAGGCAAGGGUUCAUUCAACAGCCAUCUUUGGAGUUAUGCCUAACCUACAUGUUAGGUUAGUGCUAGCAAUGCUGGGGAUUCAAACUGGCUGAGAGACCUUUUUACCUGGAGCAGAAAAGGUCCAAUCAGGGAGAAGGCAUGAGAACUUACACGAGAAGGCAGGAAGUACUAUAACCCAUAGAGGUGUAUUUGAGCUGUGUGUAUAAAGGUGUUUAAUAAGAGGUGGAGGAGGGUAAAGUGAUAAGGUCAUUGGUAAAGUACAAGGGUCAGUAGUAGACAAUACCCAGGUUAGUUUGCGAAACAUAAACUACGCCCCAGGAAGCAACAUAAAGCUUGCACUCAUACCUUUAAAGUCCUGAUUAUUUAUACACCAGUAGGUAUACAGGUCUGUUUCUCUCCUGGGCCAGAGGCUUCUCACACAGGAUGGACUUUGCACUCACUGUAUGCAGCACUCUGCACCAGACCACAUGAUGGCUCCUGGUUGACAGUAGUUUGAAGAACUUCUUAUUGUUUUUUUUUUUUUUUUAAGAUUUUUAAGUAACUCUGCACCCAGUGUGGGGCUUGAACUCACAACCCCAAGAUCAAGAUCCACAUGCUGCACCGAUUGAGCCCCACCACGUGCCCAGGAAUUUCUAAUGGCCGCAAAUUCACACAGACAGUUCAAAAACCAAACCAUCAUCUAUGUUUUUACUUGCAUGUAAAAGAAACAUACUGUAUAUCUGAUUCCAGAGAUAUAACUCGUCAGACAAGACACUUGUACCUAAAAUGUCCUUCAUUGUGUUUUUCCAUCAUUUACACAAAUGAAGUUUAUUAUUAACAUACUCUGGAGUGAUGCUUCCUAUCUCAAAUCCCAUCAACUCUCUUUCCAGCACCGAAAUGGAGCUCUGCUGUUGGUUGCCACAGGUAGGCUCUGCCCUGGGUGGUGACUGAUAAGGGAGUUCCUGGCCUCAGCUCUGCUGGGCUCACCACAGCUCUCCCAGGCAGGCAGAGCACCAAGAAUGGGUGCCACCCCACCACUAGGCGUGAAAGCCAGGCCCAGGCUGGCUCUUCUGAGGCAUUCUGGUAUGCUUCUCUGUACCUCUCCAAAACCCAGUAAUCUCUGGUGGCUAGGAUUAGAGUCAACUGUUGCUAACUCAUUCCAAGAAGAAAAGCCUAAGGAAAUUUCCAGAUGCCCUUAAGAGUAAAAGGGAUUGCUAGCUGGAAGAGAUGCUAGGACGGGAGUUAUAAACCUAGCUUUAUGGCUACUCUAAUUACAGAUUUAAAUGUGAAAAGCAAAACUUCUUGAAGAAAUAUAAGAAAAUCUCUCUUUUUUUUAAACGUAGGCUCCACACCCAACAUGGAACCCAACGUGGGGCUCACUCGUGACCAUUAGAUGAAGACCUGAGCUGAAAUCAAGAGUCACUUCACCGACUGAGCUACCCAGGUGCCUCCAUAUAAGAAAAUAUCUUAAAAAUAUUGAGAUAGGCAAGGAUUUCUACAAAAGAGAUGUAGAAAGCACCACCUAUAACAGAAAAGAUUAUAAAUUCAACUACUUUAAAGUCAAAAAUGGGUCUUUAUCAAGACACCAUUAAAAGGGUAAAAAGGCCAGUCACAGAACAGAAGAUAUCUGCAACACACAUAACCAACAAAGGGCUAGGAUCCAGAACAUAGGAAGAACUGCCAGUCAGUAAGAAAAAGACAGACAUUUAAAUUGUUUAUUUUUUAAUUUUAAAGAUUUUAUUUAUUUAUUUAUUUGACACAUUGAGAGAGAGGCAGAGACUCAGCAGAGGGAGAAGCGGGCUCCCUGCGGGGAGACUGAUGCGGGACUUAAUCCCAGGAUCCUGGGAUCACCACCUGAGCCAAAGGUGGAAGCUCAACCACUGAACCACCGAGGUGCCCCCAGACAUUUAAAUUGUGAAAAAGGUAAAGGACCUGAACAGGCACUUAAGAAGAAAGCGGAACUACAAAUGGCUAACAGACCUGACAAAAUGCUCAAUUUUAGCUAGAAAGCAGGGGAAUAGGAAUUAAACCCACAAGGAGUUGCCUAUAGGUUAUGCCAAGUGGAAGUAUAAGUUGCUGCUACCCCUGGGGAAGUCAGUCUGACACUAUCCAGUGAACCUGAAGCUAGGCCCGUCCUGUGGUCAGCAGUGCCUUUACCAGUACACACUUCGGGAGCACAUAUGAGAACAUUCUCAGCAGCAUUGUUUCUAACGGCCCCCAGGGUCCAUCAGCAGUGGAACAGAUGAAUGUGAUCUAGUCAUACGGCGGGAUAUUAUCAGUAACAAAAAAUGAAAUGCAACUCGAUGCAAAAAUGCGGGUGAAUCUAGAACAUAUGGUGAGUAAAAAAAGCUAGCCUAAAGGAGUAUAUGUGAUCCCUUUUAUAUGUGAUGUUCGAAAAUAGGCAAGAAUUACAAUGUUUGCAGAUGUAUAUUUUUGGUAAAAAUAUAAAGAUAAGGAAGUGGUUACCAUAACAUUACCAUAAAAACCAGGGUGCGGAUGCCUUUGGAGCACCAAGGGGAUGUGCAGAGGCUUUGGGAUUACCGCCAGUGUUUUAGUUCUUGACCAGGGCAGUGGUUAUGUCAGUUUUGCUUUAUGAUAACUCACAACAUUUAUGUCUCAGACAGACUUCUCUAUUAUAUUUUAUAAUUUAAAAAGGCGUGGUUUUUUUUUUUAAGGACAUAUGGUAAAAGCAACUAUCCUAGUUCUACAUGAAUGAGAUAACUUACUAGUGACAGUAUCACACAGGAUUUUAAAAAAUGUUGUAGCUCAAACAAUCCAGAAAAAAGACAAGAUGAUGAGCCCUGGAAAUCUGUUUUGUUGGCACAGGGAGCAUUGGCAUGAUGGGGACACCGUGGUGAUAGCAACACAAAAAGAAGUUUGAGUCAUUUUCGGAAAAGUAAGAGUGAAAAAUGUUUUCUAAACAUUUCAUGGGUGUAUCUCUGAUUGGAAAUCUGCACAUAAAACCAAGUUAAUGAAUAUUACAAAUUGACAUCCAUUUCAUUUUUAUUCUCAAAAAGUUGAGCCCAAGUCAGCCACAUCUUUUCUGGGAGCUUCCCCUGGGAAAGAAGAGUGCAGCCUGUGUUGGGCCAGUCCCAGUGGCUGUUACCAGCCCCAUCUGACAGUGCUCAAAGGCACAGCUAGAUAAAGUGAUUUAUCAGUGUCCACACAGCUGGGUUGCAGACUGAAAGGUGGAAGGGAAUCCAUAGCAGUGGGUCUUGUGUAACUCAUAGAAUCCACAGCAGGUUAGAAAACCAGGUUCAGGGAUCCCUGGGUGGCGCAGCGGUUUAGCGCCUUCCUUUGGCCCAGGGCGCGAUCCUGGAGACCCGGGAUCGAAUCCCAUGUCAGGCUCCCGGUGCAUGGAGCCUGCUUCUCCCUCUGCCUAUGGCUCUGCCUCUCUCUCUCUGUGUGUGACUAUCAUAAAUAAAUAAAAAAUUAAAAAAAAAAAAACAAGGAGAAUUUAAGCUCAAAUUUAAAAAAAAAAGAAAACCAGGUUCAGUAAACCAGCAGGAAGAGGGUACAUGAGAGCCCAAAUCACCAUGCACAUCCUGCCAUCGUAACAGCCCCAGUAUCAUGGCCUCCACUCAGUUCCAGACCCUGGAUGGUGCUGCUGCUGCCCUCUGCCCAUUCCCUCUGUCUCGCUGCAGACCCAAAGUUCCAGGCUCGAGUAUGCAUUAACCAACAUCCAGUUCCUUUGGUAUGUCCUAGGGACUGGAGGUUUGAGGGAGCAAGGAUCUCACCUCUUGGGGUCCCUGCCAAGAUUCCCAGAUCUCCUAGGCAACAGAGGUAGUUCUCACACAGAACAGUCAGAAAUUGUCAUUGUGAUUUUCUCUUUAGAGGCAGGCAGUGGCAAGGCUGGGACCGGUGCCCAGGACGACAUGAAUUUCCAGUCCCCUCUGUUGCUUUGGACCUGAUGGUGAGAUGGGAGGCAAAUACCAGUCACCAGUGGUGGUGUCCUCACCCUCUCAUAUAGUCACAGGUGUCAGAUCCCCAAGUGAACAGAAAGCUCACCCUAAAAAAAAAAAAAAAAAAAA
rnacentral:lncRNA from 1 species